GGAUUGGAAAGGUAUGUUAAAUUAUUGCAUAAAUGGGGACAGCGCCAUCUAUGUGGUGCGUGAUGUGAUUUAGCGUGUGGAGUAGGGACUGCCCACAGCAGAGUUAAUGAAGCAUUGCUGUGGAAAUGGUUUCUUCUCUCUCUGAAUCAGUGAAACCCUAUUACACACUGUCUCCAUUGUGCAGAAAGCAGACCGCCCAGGCAAGACCGUCACAC